UAAGAGUGUGUGCCAGAAGGGUCGGUAUUUCGGUGGGUGCAGGCGGUAUGCGGAGUUUAUUGACGUAAUGAGGGGUGAGGUGGUGGGGAAAGUGAAGUGUGAAAGCCCCGGGCUUAACGCGGGUGCUGCUUUUGAUACGGUCGGAGGAUAAUUCUGUAGAGGGAGGCGGAACGCAAGGUAUAGCGGUGAAAUGCGUAGAGAUCUGGAAGAACACCAAUGGCGAAGGCAACCUCCUGGGGCUGAAUUGACACUGAGACACGAAAGCGUGGGGAUCAAACAGGAUUAGAUACCCCGGUAGUC
rnacentral:rRNA from 1 species